UACGGAGGGGACUAGCGUUGUUCGGAAUUACUGGGCGUAAAGCGCACGUAGGCGGAUUGCUAAGUCAGGGGUGAAAUCCUGGAGCUCAACUCCAGAACUGCCUUUGAUACUGAGGAUCUUGAGUUCGGGAGAGGUGAGUGGAACUGCGAGUGUAGAGGUGAAAUUCGUAGAUAUUCGGAAGAACACCAGUGGCGAAGGCGGCUCACUGGACUGGUAUUGACGCUGAGGUGGCGAAAAGCGUGGGGAGCAAACAGG
rnacentral:rRNA from 1 species